rnacentral:lncRNA from 1 species
UGGGCUAUCAACACAGCCUAAUAAAUUAGGUUUUGGUUCUUGACUCAUUUUUAACAAGGCUAAUAAAAUGAGGUAGGACCACUUUCACCCAAAACAAAUUGUGGCAUUAGAGAAUAACACCGGAAUUUGGUGUUCUUGCCGGACAAUUUCUCCAACUCUGAUUCAGGGUCAAAACUCAACCAAAAACCUUCAUUCAAAACGCAAAAUGAAGAUCAAGGAGUAAGGAUUUGAGCCUUACCAAGAUGGAGUGACGUUGCCAUCGAGAUCGUCUAGAAAAAGCCCUAAAACUCACGACCACUCGCCGGAAAAAUUCAAGAAAUGUUUUUCCCCAAAGGUUCUACAUCCACACCACUCCAAAAUGUCUCAAAAUAUCCUUAUCUAGUCUAAACAUAAUUUUAUAGCGGUCUAAGGAGCGUACCUUAAUCAAAAGGUUCGAGAUCUUGUUGGAGUCACCAUACCAUGACUACACAAUAUUGGGGGUGAAAAAGGAUAAGAGUAGGACGUGAGGGAGAAAAGGAAAAAGGUCUUGAUGGUUGUAGUGUGUGUCCGAGUAUGUGUGUGUGUUGUGUCAGGGACGAGAGCACCAAGAGAGGGAGAGGUGCGUGAGAGUGUGAGGGAGAAAAUGAGAAGUUUUUGGAGUAGGGGAAAGGGCAUGGGUAGGAUGGGUAAAUAAUAAGGCCCUUGAUUGGGCCAUAGGAUUUAAGCCCUAAACAUGGGUCCAAAGAAGAAAUAACCCAACCCAAAAUAGAAUUUCGCCCAUUCUCAUUCUUAAUUCAUGCCAUUGUGCUCAUGACGUCGACCACCAUUUAAUUUUGUGAGCGAGAAAAUAAUUUAAAACUAUAUAUAUCCAUCCACGUCACUAAACCAUAAGGGCAUUAUCGACAUUUUACAUACUGAAGGAUAAAAUAUAUAAUAAUUUGAGACGGGCUGUUACAACCUACCCCUUUAAGAAAAUGUCAUUCUAUCGCGUUUGGAUUGCACUUAUUCCUCUUUCAUGCCUCCAAACUCAUACUUUCCUUCUUCAGUAUAAUACUUCAAUAUAAAAUUCUUUAUGAAAACCUCAAGUCAAAAAAAUAGAUAUGUAAAAACAUAAUGUCAAAUUACGUAUAUAUAAAUUAUAACAUAAAAUUAAAGUAAUUAUACUAAAAUAAAAAACCAAACAUAGAAAAAUUUCACCUAUGCUUUCGCAAAAGGACCUAGAUACUCACUUGUGUAACGAACCCAACAAUAAGUUAUUGAUAUCACAAUCUGCAGCCCGCAAUACCAAUAACUCACUGUCGUGUCGACAAACAAGUAAGGAAUUCCAGAGGGUGCAAUAUUACCAUCUUGCCCCCUUAUUGGAAAAUACAUAUACAUCGCCUAAACAAAGCCUCAAUCAUGCUCAUGCACUACCUUCUCAGGACACAUCGUCAAUAUCAUAAAAAUUUUCAUCUUACAAUCUCGAUCAUUCAAAUACCUAUUCGCAAUACUUUUCUGUAAAUCACCUACUGGGCAUAAAUACUUAUACUAUUUCUCAAACAAUGCCACGGUCAUAACCAGAAAUGUAACCGCAGUUACACAUAACUCUAACCAGGGUAAGUGCCUACCAGUUACGUACUGUGCAUAAAAUCUUUGUAUAUCGGUUCCAAUGGCAUCAUAUCUAAGCCAAAAUUGUAUCCGUAAUUACAAGCAACUAAAAUAAAGAUAAUGGUAUGUUGCAACCAAGCUAAUGGUGGAACGAACAAAAUGCAACUCUUCCACUAAGGUUUGAGUAACUUGUUUCAAUCUAAUCGUUAGUCUUAGGGGUGGAAAUAUGAUACUAAACAACAUCUAAUACUUAUAACCUUCAUAAAGACUUCCAAAGGCUUGGAAGUGAAACAAGUAGCACGAUGAAAUAUAAAUAUGCCAAGAUGAUAAUCUUGUCGGGUUUCUGUUUGCCUGAACCUGUAUAAUAGUCUAGAAGCAGCUUUCUCAUAAUACCAUCAUCCUCCGAAAGCAAACAGAGAAGAAACUGUGGUUGUCAAGGAAGUUUGGAUUUUAUUUCUUCAAACAUCCUUUCUACUCUAACCAAAGGUGAGGCGCAUCUAGACUAAGAAUUCUCUUCAAACAUCUCAAGUGGAGCCUAAAUUUUAAUUUCUUUCCUAUCUCCACAUUUGAUCAUAUCACGAACAAUGACUUUUAGAUUACAUCACGUGGAGAAGUUAACAAAAUCCCACUUCUAUCUUAGUUGUCUUCACAAGUGUCUUCUUGUUGAAAUUUCAACGCCCAUUUUAAGGAAAGAAAUUAUCGCCAAUACUUUAAGCUUUGAGGCUGGAAGAAUACAGCUUUCCACUUAAGUAAAGCUACCACCAAUUGAAACACCAUAUACGCAUAGCAUUGGUUCAACAUCAUGAUUAGUAAUUUUCACAUUCUCUACACAUACAAAAUAACUCGUAUGGAGAGCGUAUAAUGAUACUUCCCAACUCCAUUCAUUCAACAAAAGUGAUUAUAACCAUUCAAACUAUUUCUUAAUGGGUUAAAGGUAACGCCAUAUCGAUACUUGAAUUUUCCAACUGAAAUAGAAUAGGAAAAGCUGAAAGUGUUCAAAGGUAGAUAUGUCCUUUUUAUACAACUGGACUAAUACACGAUGAUGCUCUCAUAAAUGUUGAUUUAGUCCUUUUCACUGCCGCUAUCAUAAUUUAGCUCAUUCCAAGAGUAAAUGUACUUAAGAAAUUCUAAGGUGGAUAAUAAUUUUGGACACGUUCUCCACAGAGAAAUGUUAUUUGAUUUUCAAGCAAAGAUGGUAAAUGAUGACUCCAAGUCAUAGAUAAGAUGGCUCAUUCCUAAACAGUUCUACAUAUUGGAAAUAUAGGUGAUAAUCCGUCAUGCUGCCUCUGCAUAGCUGAAACAUCCAAAGAACCCGCCAUCGUGGAUUUCCCAAAAUGAUCAAUGUCAAUGAAAGAUGUAACACAAAAGUAGAUUGAGACCACAAUUUGGUUGUCAGAAUUUUAUUCAUACUAACAUCACAACUAAACUAACUUUCCUUGGUUGCGAGUUGCGAGUGAGUACAAACAUUAUAGCCGAAAAAUCUCUAACCAAUUGUCGAUAAAAUCGACCAGACUAAAGAUAUCUCGAAAUUCACAAUAUUUUGUGAGAAUUUCUACUUUCUUUCGCUACAAUCAUUUUGGGAAAAAGAAAGAAUCUCAUCCCCUGAUAUCAUCUCUCCCAAGAAAAGUAUCCAUUUAAUCAAAGUUUACAGUUUAGGAAUCUGAUAUAAAGCUAACUAACAAAGCUCAGGAAAUUUGGUCUCACUGUCAUGGCAGAUAAGAAGGUCGUCGAUGAGACUAUUAUAAAUUUGUCAAACCAUGGAGGCAAACUCGAGUUACAGAGGUUGGUCGGCUAGACCAUCAGCUCAAAAUAAGGGAUAACGGCUCUUACUCGUCACUCGGUCAAGUUGUUAAAGUCUAGGUACAAACCUAGGGUUCAAUCUUUCGCCUUCACAAAUAGGUUUGAAGUUCCUUGAAUAAAAUGCUUGAUUGGGUCAUUCCCUAAUUGUAAGCUUUAAUAACUAAAUUUUUCCAAAUGGUAGGAGUUCCUCGAAAGGACGCAAGGAAACUAGUGUAAUAUGAGAAAGUAGAUCGAUGAUAAUAUCUCAUGUAAGGCUUUGGAAUAUGACGCUUGAAUAUACGUCCUCAAAACCUACCAUAAUAUUUCCUUUCACCACGCCACGUGUUAAUAAGUCUUCACAGCUUUCUCGAUACUUACCAUAAUAUCUACCCAUGGAAGUGAUCCAGAAGGUGGCUAGUCGAAAAGAUUGUGUUUACCUAGAUAGGUGAUAAGGUAGAAACAACUAUGAGUUUACCGGUGAUAAGGUAGAAACAAUUAUGAGUUUACUGUCCUAAUACAAAGCUUGCUCCUAACUUUUCGUAAUUUAGUUUCUUCGGCUCCAGCAGUCGUUGUUAAUCAGUUUAUUAGUCGCGCCAUUGAUUGACGUAUGUACGAUAAUUUUAAUAUUGCUCGUUACCCUAAAACUGUAAAUCGACGUUCUGGCACAAGGGUAUCACUUCCAGAUACUAGCAUGUGUCUGGUAUCAAAAAUCAUACCGCCUAAAUACUGGUUGACAAUUCAUGGAUAUCGGACAAUAUCAUCAAUUAGUAGUGCCACUAUAGGCUGAUAAUCUACUUUAAAACGAGUUUAAACGGAAGUCGAUCUUUAUCCUGAAGAUCCAAAAUGAUAACUAGUGUUUAAGAAAAUUAGUACUAUUGGGGACCAAAAGUGAUUAUUCCCCUGAUGUUCUUAUGUUAAGUGCUAUCCUUUUAGCACUCUACUGUCACUCAAGACAAUUUUGGAAUCUUGACGAAGUAAACUUCGUAGAAAUCCUAAUAAAUGGUGUACUAACGGGUAUUGCCAAGGAAUCAAAAUCAAUUUCGGUUACCUAUCUCGAAAGGGUUGAUAAUGAUGGCUCAAGAAUAAUGAUGGAUUUGAUUUAUAGAUCCCUGGUGAUACAUCGAUAUCGAUACAUUAACCCUACUUUAGGGCCAUCAACUAGUCUUAAGUCUACGUCUUUCCUUGGCAAAAACGUUUUUCGCUUUAAGCCUAAAAGCGUUCACCAAAAUAAUAUUCUAAAAUAUCGACAAGUCGGCAAAACUACCUAAAACUUAGGAAAAACUAACACAUUUUUUGCAGUCGACGAGGCAACAAGUUCGAAAAUUAGACUCAUAAAAUGCUUUCAUCAUGCGUGUAAUGGAUGCAAUACUGCCCAACUUAUGCUCUGAUACCAAAUUGACACACCCCAACCAAGAAUGUCCACUAGGACUCUAAAUCGAGCUGUGCUGGCCGACACCUGGAAGAUGACAAAGCCAUAAAGUAUGGUGAUGUGGAAAAUGUGAAUAAAUUUAAACCUAAUAAUGUCUAAAGACGAGAGUGUGCUUUGAAUGGGAAUGAACUCAUUUCACACGUGACGUCAGAGCAUAUGUAAAUAGUGUGGGUAAAGAUCAUACCCUCAGAGGUAGUCACCUAUAUUGAGAUUCGCCAAGAAUCCUCUCGAUACGAACUUUCAACAAUUAAAACUUGGAAAGGCGCAAAACAAAAACAUGAGUGGGCAAAAACAAAACUUUUCAAAACCAUUUCUCUUUCCAAAAGUAAUAACCCCUCGUUGUAAAACCGUAUAAUUUGCUAAAAAAUAGGAUACGUACAUAUAACAAAACCAUACUCAAAUUACCAAAAUCCACAUAUAUACCAUGUCAAAUGUCUCAGCAUAAUGAAAUAAGUAAACCAGGUGAAAUAAAUCAAUCAAAGUAACAUGUCAGCCGGAUCCACCUAUUGUGGCAUGUACGACUGAACCUAUAGCUUAUCAAGUAUGCCUGCACAUAAGUCGGAACCACCUAAUGUGGUUUGUACGACAGGGUUGGGUGUAAAUAAGUACACUCAAGUGCUACGAUCACGUGAAAACUAUGCAAAUAAUCGCAGGUCACCUACGAGUCGAAACCACUUAUAAUGGUCUGUAUGACUGGACUGUGCACCAAACUUGGAUCCAAGGUGAGCAUGUGGUGUGGGAGGUGAAUAUCACGUGAAGGACUAUGCCCUGGCCACGGGUGGGAGCACUAACACCGGGGUGCAGGUUUAUGUGCUCUGAAUGCAUCUAUGUAUCACCAUCAUAAUGCAACUCACAAUCAUCAAUACCUAUACUCACCUGGAACUUACAUGUGCGUCCGCAGCAUCAACAAUAUCAUACACAACUACUAGAAGCAUAUUCUAAGAUAUAAACCAUUUGACAUGGUAUUUAAAUCAUAAAAUCAUUUAAAUCAACUUUUCUGGCAAAAACAUAAAGCAUAUAUAUAUAUAAAUAUUGAAUACCAGAAGCCCACUCACUGGUAUGUGGUAGGGUCGUAACCCUCGAGUCUAGCAUGGCCCCGCUCGUCCUCAGGAAACGUCUCACCUGUAUGUGAAAUAGCUGAUUAAACAUUAAUUCAAUAGCACAUACAUAAAACCUAGGAUCAACUUCUCAUACGUCGCUCAAUUAGGAUGUUUGAAUAUACUAUCGUGGCCUACUCAACACCACGAGCAUCCCCUAAAUUAAAACUAAGUGGACCUAAUUCACUUUAAACAUAAGGCCUAAACCAAUUAAAUGGCUUAGGUCAAAAUUGAAAUGACUUAAAGGUUGGGCUGGCCAUACAGAUUCCAAAAUAUUUUUUUUUUUUUAAUUUUUAAAUUUUUUUUUUUUAAACAGAAUUGGGUUUUUGGUUUGGGCUAUCAACACAGCCCAAUAAAUUAGGUUAUGGUUCUGGACUCAUUUUUAACAAGGCUAAUAAAAUGGGAUAGGACCACUUUGAUCCAAAACAAAUUGUGGCCUGCUGGAACUAUUAGAGAAGAAAACCGAAAUUUGGUGUUCUUGCUGGACAAUUUCUCCAACUUCGAUUCAAGGUCAAAACCCAACCAAAAACCUUCAUUCAAAACCCAAAAUGAAGAUCAAGGAGUAAGGAUUCAAGCCUUACCAAGAUGGAGUGACGUUGCCGUCGAGAUCGUCCGAAAAAGCCCUAAAACUCACGACCACUGGCCGAAAAAAUUCUAGAAAUGUUUUUCCCAAAGGUUCUACAUCCACACCAUUCCAAAAUGUCUCAAAAUAUCCUUAUCUAGUCUAAACAUAAUUUUAUAGCGGUCUAAGGUGCUUACCUUAAUCAAAAGGUUGAAGAUCUCGUCGGAGUCACCACAUCGUGACUACACAAUAUUAGGGGUGAAAAGGAUGAGAGUAGGACGUGAGGGAGAAAAGGGAAAGGUCCUAAUGGUUGUAUUGUGUGUGCGAGUAUGUGUGUGUGUUGUGUCGGGGACGAGAGCACCAAGAGAGGGAGAGGUGCGGGAGAGUGUGAGGGAGAAAAGGAGAAGUUUUUGGAGUGGGGGAAAGGGGGGUAGGAUGGGUAAAUAAUAAGGCCCUUUAUUAGGGCAUAGGAUUUAAGCCCUAAAAAUGAGUCCAAAGAAGAAAUAACCCAACCCAAAAUAGAAUUUCGCCCAUUCUCGUUCUUAAUUCAUGCCAUUGUGCUCGAGCACCAUUUAAUUUCACGAGGGAGAAAAUAAUUUAAAACUAUAUAUAUCCAUCCACAUCACUAAACCACGAGGGCAUUAUCGACAUUUUACAUACUCGGGGAUAAAAUAUAUAAUAAUUCGAGACAGGCUGUUACAGUAUUAUAUAAAUUGAAUAUAUUCAUUAUAGGCUCAACUCCUUUUUUUUAAAGCAGGUUUAAAAAGCAACCUACAUACUACUUUUAAAAGGUGAUGUCUAGACUAGAGGCCAUUGCUUUUAAAAUAAGCAAGAUACUUAGUUGACUAAACAAUAUUUAUUAAUUAACUUUAAAGGGAAGUAGUUUUUAGUGAGAAAAGGUAAUACGAAAUAGAGUUUUAGUCACUUUCCGUUGUAGAUUUAUUGCCAACCCAUUUAAGAGACGAACGGUUGGGUUAUAUAACAUGAAACCGACCCAAUUUUUUUUGUACUAGGUCAAGCCUGGGGUUUUCACAACUUAAACAUGCCAAGCCUUUGUUUCCAAAGAACAAAACCACAUGUUAGGCCUUCAUAAGGGUUUGCUCUAAAAUACGCCUAGGGGUGAGCACAAAAACUGCUAAACCAAAAACCAAAUCAAACCAUGAUAAAAAAAAAAAUACCAUAAAAAAUCGCAUUGACCAAAAAAGUCAAAAUCAGGACAAAAAUCGAACCGGACCGUCUCAAAUCAGUUAUAAUUCCAAUUUAGAAAUACUAAAAACUGGAGGAACCAGACCGAACCACUUUUAAUAUAAAUUAUUAUAUUUUAUGUAAAUAAGUCAUUUUUUUCACGAAUGCCAUAUGCAUAAGCAUAUACUCUUAAUAUCUAAAAAGCCCAACCGCACCAACCUCUUCCCAGCCUGAUGGUGAAGUGGACUUGCAUGACACUUGUUGGUCCAAGUUCGAACGUUGGUGUGCUGCUAAAAACCCCAGCAUCGUGGUUAUAAAUGGGUUUUUCCGAUUUAACAAGGUGAUAAAUCUAUAGCAGUCACUUAACAUCCAAAAGGGAGACCUUUAAAAUUUUUUGGGUGAUCCUUAUUCUGGGAAAAGGAUCCACUUUGUGGUGAUCUUAGGGAUCUCCACAUCCUAACAGUUCAUCGUACAUCGUGCGAUAAGUUUUCGUCAUAUACUAUUUAUGUUUAAUUUUAAAUAUAAAAAAAUUAAAUGAUUUCUAACCACACGAUAGAUGAUGAAUAACUAGAAUAUGAGAAUCCCUAGAAUCCCCACAAAUGGAUCCAGAUGGGAUCCAAAUCCCUUAUUCUGAGCAAGUAACUCAGCAUCAUGGAUCUUGCAAGUCCACUAAGGUGCUAAAGCAAUUUGUGGGUGGGACAUUUGUUACUUCCUCUCUCUAAUCUUCGUCAACCACCAGUCAUGAAUCUUGUAGAUCUAGUAGUAGAAACUCAAAUUUGUUUGAAUUUGUUGUUGAAAUAUGUGUUUG